GACGAACCGUGCAAACGUUGUUCGGAAUCACUGGGCUUAAAGGGCGCGUAGGCGGGCCAGCCAGUCUGUGGUGAAAUCCUCCAGCUUAACUGGAGAAGUGCCGUGGAUACUGCUGGCCUCGAGGAGGGUAGGGGCAUCUGGAACGGUCGGUGGAGCGGUGAAAUGCGUUGAUAUCGGAAGGAACGCCGGUGGCGAAAGCGACGUGCUGGCCCUCUUCUGACGCUGAGGCGCGAAAGCUAGGGGAGCGAACGGG
rnacentral:rRNA from 1 species